UGAGGAAUAUUGGUCAAUGGGCGAGAGCCUGAACCAGCCAAGUCGCGUGAGGGAAGAAUGGUCUAUGGCCUGUAAACCUCUUUUGUCAGGGAAGAAUAAGGAUGACGAGUCAUUCGAUGCCAGUACUUGACGAAUAAGCAUCGGCUAACUCCGUGCCAGCAGCCGCGGUAAUACGGGGGAUGCGAGCGUUAUCCGGAUUUAUUGGGUUUAAAGGGCGCGUAGGCGGGACGUCAAGUCAGCGGUAAAAGACUGCAGCUAAACUGUAGCACGCCGUUGAAACUGGCGCCCUGGAGACGAGACGAGGGAGGCGGAACAAGUGAAGUAGCGGUGAAAUGCAUAGAUAUCACUUGGAACCCCGAUAGCGAAGGCAGCUUCCCAGGCUCGUUCUGACGCUGAUGCGCGAGAGCGUGGGUAGCGAACAGG
rnacentral:rRNA from 1 species